rnacentral:rRNA from 1 species
AUUGAACGCUGGCGGCAGGCCUAACACAUGCAAGUCGAGCGAGCGGCGGACGGGUGAGUAAUUUCUGAGUAUUGCCCAGUCGAGGGGGAUAACCGUUGGAAACGACUGCUAAUACCGAAUACGAUUGGAUUGCCCAGGUGGGAUUAGAUAGUUGGUGAGGUAAUGGCACACAAAGGAGACGAUCCCUAGCUGGUCUGAGAGGAUGAUCAGCCACACUGGGACUGAGACACGGUCCAGACUCCUACGGGAGGCAGCAGUGGGGAAUAUUGCACAAUGGGGGAAACCCUGAUGCAGCCAUGCCGCGUGUGUGAAGAAGGCCUUCGGGUUGUAAAGUACUUUCAGCAAGGAGGCGUUACUCGCAGAAGAAGCACCGGCUAACUCCGUGCCAGCAGCCGCGGUAAUUC